ACUCCUACGGGAGGCAGCAGUGGGGAAUCUUGGACAAUGGGCGCAAGCCUGAUCCAGCCAUGCCGCGUGAGUGAUGAAGGCCUUAGGGUCGUAAAGCUCUUUCGCCUGUGAAGAUAAUGACUGUAGCAGGUAAAGAAACCCGCGUACAUCCGUGCCAGCAGCCGCGGUAAUACGGAGGGGGUUAGCGUUGUUCGGAAUUACUGGGCGUAAAGCGCGCGUAGGCUGACUAUUAAGUCAGGGGUGAAAUCCCGGGGCUCAACCCGAACGGACCUGCAUACUGUAGUCUUGAGUUCGAGAGAGGUGAGUGGAAUUCCGAGUGUAGAGGUGAAAUUCGUAGAUAUUCGGAGGAACACCAGUGGCGAAGGCGGCUCACUGGCUCGAUACUGACGCUGAGGUGCGAAAGUGUGGGGAGCAAACAGGAUUAGAUACCCUGGUAGGUGA
rnacentral:rRNA from 1 species